rnacentral:rRNA from 1 species
ACUCUGCUCAGGACGAACGCUGGCGGCGUGCCUAAUACAUGCAAGUCGAGCGGACAGAAGGGAGCUUGCUCCCGGAUGUUAGCGGCGGACGGGUGAGUAACACGUGGGUAACCUGCCUGUAAGACUGGGAUAACUCCGGGAAACCGGAGCUAAUACCGGAUAGUUCCUUGAACCGCAUGGUUCAAGGAUGAAAGACGGUUUCGGCUGUCACUUACAGAUGGACCCGCGGCGCAUUAGCUAGUUGGUGGGGUAAUGGCUCACCAAGGCGACGAUGCGUAGCCGACCUGAGAGGGUGAUCGGCCACACUGGGACUGAGACACGGCCCAGACUCCUACGGGAGGCAGCAGUAGGGAAUCUUCCGCAAUGGACGAAAGUCUGACGGAGCAACGCCGCGUGAGUGAUGAAGGUUUUCGGAUCGUAAAGCUCUGUUGUUAGGGAAGAACAAGUACGAGAGUAACUGCUCGUACCUUGACGGUACCUAACCAGAAAGCCACGGCUAACUACGUGCCAGCAGCCGCGGUAAUACGUAGGUGGCAAGCGUUGUCCGGAAUUAUUGGGCGUAAAGGGCUCGCAGGCGGUUUCUUAAGUCUGAUGUGAAAGCCCCCGGCUCAACCGGGGAGGGUCAUUGGAAACUGGGAAACUUGAGUGCAGAAGAGGAGAGUGGAAUUCCACGUGUAGCGGUGAAAUGCGUAGAGAUGUGGAGGAACACCAGUGGCGAAGGCGACUCUCUGGUCUGUAACUGACGCUGAGGAGCGAAAGCGUGGGGAGCGAACAGGAUUAGAUACCCUGGUAGUCCACGCCGUAAACGAUGAGUGCUAAGUGUUAGGGGGUUUCCGCCCCUUAGUGCUGCAGCUAACGGCAUUUAAAGGCC